rnacentral:lncRNA from 1 species
CCCCUGAUUACCCCUCCAUCAAUGCUGACCUGGAAAUCUCACACCAAGCUUCCCUGUGCAGGCUGGCUAAUUAAGAACUUGGUUGUUCCACCUUUGCCUUGGAGAGAAGCGGAUGGCGGGGCUGCCCCAAAGAGGUGGCCUCUUUAUGGAGAAGGGUCCUGGAAAGAGAUCAGGCGUGUAUGAUUCUUCAUGGAAAUGUAGAUAUAGAUAAGAAUUGUAUUGGACUUAACCCUUGCAUGUUUUCAACAAAAAUACUGCAGUCUCCCAUCGGAGAAGAGGCUUACCAUACAGAGAACAUUUGUUGAACUUUGUGUCAGGCAUGGGGCCUUCUUUCAAUGCUCAUGCCACCCCUUGAAUGAGGGCUUAUGGGAUGCAGAAAGAGGGAACUUCUGACUCCUGGGACCAACAACCCUCAGCCUCACCGCCAAGAAGGCUUUCUGCUAUCGUGAUAAAAAGGCAAGGGGUGUGCCUGCGCUUGACCAGCAAGCCCAGAGCAGGCACAAGAUGGAAACAUUGUCUCCAAGUCUCAACCACAGCUUUGUAGGUUUCUCUUGUUUGCCCUGGGAUGGGAUUUGGUAUCUGAGCUUCUGUUCUGCGCCUGGAGGGAUUCUCAGUCUAUGACCAGGUCAUUUUCUCUGCCCCGCUCCUCUGUGCCCUUGAUUUGGUCUCCAUCUCUCUCGGUAUCUUUUCUUUUUCCUGCCUCCUCCACACCCCCAUCUCUUCCCCUGAAUUGUCAAUAGUAUGUAAGCAAGAGUUAUAUUGAUACGCCUCAUUCUUUGAAGAGUUUUAUAUUCAUAAUUAUAACUUUUCAUUUUAUUCUCAAAAAUAAAUGAAUAAACAAGUAAAGCA